rnacentral:rRNA from 3 species
UGUAAUGACUCUCGGCAACGGAUAUCUCGGCUCUUGCAUCGAUGAAGAACGUAGCGAAAUGCGAUACUUGGUGUGAAUUGCAGAAUCCCGUGAACCAUCGAGUCUUUGAACGCAAGUUGCGCCCGAAGCCAUUAGGUCGAGGGCACGUCUGCCUGGGUGUCACA